AGAGAAUAAAUUAACCAGAUAAAAUUUGCUUAUGGAAAAUGUGUUACACUUGAAAAUCGAAUCAAAAUUUCUAAUAGUAUACAGUUUUUAAUAGACAGAAAAAAAACCACACAUCAUAGUAAAACCAAAAAUGUCUCACUGCGAUUAGAAUUUAAAAAUUAGAUACAACCAUAUUUACACAUAAAUCAUCUACUCACCGUGGAUUUAAUGUGUUAAGAAGUGCCGGAGCUUAGAGAGGACGAAUGAGAAAUAUGCCC